AUGGCGAAGGAGCGCUUCUCACUUGAAAGAGUAAUCCAUGAUAUGGAACAUAAACUUCUUUCAAAGAUUCUCACUAUACAACAGGAAUUAACUGAGAUUAAAAUGCAUGACACCCUACCAACAAGGGUCUACAAUCUAGAAGUAGACUAUACAGAUGAUUAUAUUCUAACAAAAGAGGACGAAGAGGUCCUACAUUUUGUGAGGAAUAGCUACAUUUGGGCCACAAUUGCUUUAAUAGCUGAUAUUCCACUCGCAAUUAAUUUCCUACUCCCCAAUGUGAAUGGAGGAUGGUUAUAUGACACGGUGAUCGAUGCGUAUGGUUACACCGCCAACAUAGCAAAUCAUAAUGCAGGAGUCAUCACAACCUUCCAAAGUAACUUAUUAUUUGAUGAUUUUGAAGACUUCGAUUCAAGAUUUGAUCAUCAUUGGGUUUCACAAGUUGGCAAGAUUUGUGUUGUGCGACACAUGGUACAUUACACACACCUUAUGAAUUAACUAGUAUAUC
rnacentral:lncRNA from 1 species